UGGGGAAUUUUGGACAAUGGGGGCAACCCUGAUCCAGCAAUGCCGCGUGUGUGAAGAAGGCCUUCGGGUUGUAAAGCACUUUUGUCCGGGAAGAAAUCCUUUUCGAUAAUACCGAAGGGGGAUGACGGUACCGGAAGAAUAAGCACCGGCUAACUACGUGCCAGCAGCCGCGGUAAUACGUAGGGUGCGAGCGUUAAUCGGAAUUACUGGGCGUAAAGCGUGCGCAGGCGGUGAUGUAAGACCGAUGUGAAAUCCCCGGGCUUAACCUGGGAACUGCGGUGGUGACUGCAUCGCUGGAGUAUGGCAGAGGGGGGUAGAAUUCCACGUGUAGCAGUGAAAUGCGUAGAGAUGUGGAGGAAUACCGAUGGCGAAGGCAGCCCCCUGGGCCAAUACUGACGCUCAUGCACGAAAGCGUGGGGAGCAAACAGG
rnacentral:rRNA from 1 species